rnacentral:rRNA from 1 species
AGUGAACGCUGGCGGUAGGCCUAACACAUGCAAGUCGAACGGCAGCACAGUAAGAGCUUGCUCUUACGGGUGGCGAGUGGCGGACGGGUGAGGAAUACAUCGGAAUCUACUUUUUCGUGGGGGAUAACGUAGGGAAACUUACGCUAAUACCGCAUACGACCUACGGGUGAAAGCAGGGGAUCUUCGGACCUUGCGCGAUUGAAUGAGCCGAUGUCGGAUUAGCUAGUUGGCGGGGUAAAGGCCCACCAAGGCGACGAUCCGUAGCUGGUCUGAGAGGAUGAUCAGCCACACUGGAACGUAGACACGGUCCAGACUCCUACGGGAGGCAGCAGUGGGGAAGAUUGGACAAUGGGCGCAAGCCUGAUCCAGCCAUAACGCGUGGGUGAAGAAGGACUUCGGGUUGUAAAGCCCUUUUGUUGGGAAAGAAAAGCAGCAGGUUAAUACCCCGCUGUUCUGACGGUACCCAAAGAAUAAGCACCGGCUAACUUCGUG